rnacentral:misc_RNA from 1 species
GAUGAAGAACGCAGUGAAAUGCGAUACGUAGUGUGAAUUGCAGAAUUCAGUGAAUCAUCGAAUCUUUGAACGCACAUUGCACCUCUCGGUAUUCCGGGAGGUAUGCCUGUUCGAGCGUCAUUUGUACCCUCAAGCUCUGCUUGGUGUUGGGUGUUUGUUCCGCCUCUGUGUGUGAACUCGCCUCAAAACAAUUGGCAGCCGGCGUACUUGUUUCGGAGCGCAGCACAUUUUGCGAUCCAGAUCAACGUACAGCGGCAUCCAAGAAGCCUUAUUUAACGCUCUUGACCUCGGAUCAGGUAGGGAUACCCGCUGAACUUAAGCAUAUCAUAAGCGGAGGA